rnacentral:rRNA from 1 species
CGAGCACGCGCGUGUGGCAUAUCAAUAAGCGGAGGAAAAGAAACUAACAAGGAUUCCCUUAGUAACGGCGAGUGAAGCGGGAAGAGCUCAAAUUUGAAAUCUUCAAGGUUCUACCUUGACGAAUUGUAGUUUAUAGAAGUGUUUUCUGUUAGUAGGAGUGGCAAAGAGUUCUUUGGAAUAGGACAUCAUAGAGGGUGAGAAUCCCGUAUUUGGUCAUUCCUCCUAGCGUUGUGAUACACUUUCAACGAGUCGGAUUGUUUGGGAAUGCAGUCCAAAAUGGGUGGUAAAUUUCAUCUAAAGCUAAAUAUUGGCGAGAGACCGAUAGCGAACAAGUACCGUGAGGGAAAGAUGAAAAGAACUUUGAAAAGAGAGUUAAACAGUACGUGAAAUUGUCAAAAGGGAAGCGUUUGACACCAGUGUUGUUUUUCCGAAAAUCAAUUACGAAUGUUUUAUUUUUGAGGAGUUAUGACUUCAUCGGCUUGCUCCUUUCUUUAUGGAACUUUCUUAAUGCACUUUUCGGUUAACAAGUCAACAUCAAUUUCUUUUGUUGUAAAAGAGUAUGAGGAAGGUGGCUUUCUUUUCGGAGAAAGUGUUUAUAGCCUUGUGCCUCUACAAUCGGAGAGAUUGAGGUCUGCAGCGUAGAUCCUUCGGGGUUAGAUACGUUUGUGCUAAGUUAUAGCUUUUCAUAGACAACUUGUUGACUAUGUUUAGUCUUGUAGCUUACUCGCUUAUGCUAUUUUACCUACGCUUAGGAUGUUGAUGUGAUACUGCGAGC